rnacentral:rRNA from 1 species
GGUGAACGCUGGCGGCGUGCCUAAUACAUGCAAGUCGAGCGAACAGACGAGGAGCUUGCUCCUCUGACGUUAGCGGCGGACGGGUGAGUAACACGUGGAUAACCUACCUAUAAGACUGGGAUAACUUCGGGAAACCGGAGCUAAUACCGGAUAAUAUAUUGAACCGCAUGGUUCAAUAGUGAAAGACGGUUUUGCUGUCACUUAUAGAUGGAUCCGCGCCGCAUUAGCUAGUUGGUAAGGUAACGGCUUACCAAGGCAACGAUGCGUAGCCGACCUGAGAGGGUGAUCGGCCACACUGGAACUGAGACACGGUCCAGACUCCUACGGGAGGCAGCAGUAGGGAAUCUUCCGCAAUGGGCGAAAGCCUGACGGAGCAACGCCGCGUGAGUGAUGAAGGUCUUCGGAUCGUAAAACUCUGUUAUUAGGGAAGAACAAAUGUGUAAGUAACUAUGCACGUCUUGACGGUACCUAAUCAGAAAGCCACGGCUAACUACGU